CGCUGGUGUCCAUGGUGGUGGGUUAUCAGAACUUAUUAAUGUCACUGUCACUAAAGUUGGUAUAUAACCCCCACUGCUAAAUAUGACGAGCUAAA
ensembl:misc_RNA Y_RNA Y RNA